CUACGGGGGGCAGCAGUGGGGAAUAUUGCACAAUGGAGGAAACUCUGAUGCAGCAACGCCGCGUGGAGGAUGACACUUUUCGGAGCGUAAACUCCUUUUAUAUAGGAAGAAGAUGACGGUACUAUAUGAAUAAGCGCCGGCUAACUCCGUGCCAGCAGCCGCGGUAAUACGGAGGGCGCAAGCGUUACUCGGAAUCACUGGGCGUAAAGAGCGUGUAGGCGGAUUAAAAAGUCAGAAGUGAAAUCCUAUAGCUUAACUAUAGAACUGCUUCUGAAACUCUUAAGCUAGAAUAUGGGAGAGGUAGAUGGAAUUUCUGGUGUAGGGGUAAAAUCCGUAGAGAUCAGAAGGAAUACUGAUUGCGAAGGCGAUCUACUAGAACAUUAUUGACGCUGAGACGCGAAAGCGUGGGGAGCAAACAGGAUUAGAUACCCCAGUAGUC
rnacentral:rRNA from 1 species